AACAAAGUCACCUGACUGUGACAGGUGGCGACAGGGUUGAAUAGCAUGUAGGGAUGUGCUUCGCCAGAUUAAAUUCCCCACACUUUUAUUCGCGGCAACUAACAUACGCGAUUCGAUAGAACAAAAGAAGAAAUAAACUCAACGCGGUUCGUUAUAACAAAACGUAAUUGGAUAUAAAAAUACUGACACCGUCGUUGACAUACGUUGCAUGUCGCAACUCGUGGUCCGAUUGGUCGGGGUUUUCUGUUAAUAAUUCGACACAAUUAAACUUAUUAGUAAACGAGUCAGAGUGUUAAACUUGCAGGUCAAGAAUAAUUGAAUGGCGAACUAACUGUUUACAGCUUGUUUAUCCAAAGUAUUUUUCUUAUUAAAAGGUCGAAGCUUGCGUAGACGUCAGCGAGUGGUACUACAGAAUGUUUCAGAAGAACUUGAAAUUGCGAACGAAUAUAGUAGUCGGCACGGUACCGCUCCAAAAUUACGAGACCCCUCAAAAAACAGACGACGUUACAGAGGCUUUUUCAUCUCAUCCACCGUGCACCAGGUCCGUCGAAGAAUACACCAACGACAUAGCAACAUCGAAAAACAUCGACAGAGAGCGUACUCCGAAGUCAGGUUUGUCUUCAGUGCCGCUUUACGAGAGAAGUCAGAUAUAUCGAUCCUCGAAACCGGACAGAGACGAUCCCACGGGGGAUGAAGGGGACAGCGACGGAGAGGUCAAACCAUAUUCGCCAAUGUAUCGCGUGUACAAGUUCCAAUCGUCUGAAAAACACGGAUAAAUAGACACGUACAUUGUUGGCUAUAUAUAAACACAGAAGAGCCUCGCUUAAUUAUUCGUUCGACUUGAUGUUCGUUAGCGAUGUUUGUAACAGAUCCACAAAAUCGAUUGGAAAUCGUCGAGAAAGAAACAGGGAAAGGUUGUUAAUGUUGCCUCCAGAAAUUUUAUAUAUUCACGUACACGUAUCUGUGUGGUUAAAUUGCGUCCCAUUCUCAUCCCUAUCGGUCGACUAUAGAUGCCUUCAAUUUUGCCUUUGUCUCUUAAUUUCUUACGCAGAAAAAAAAACUUGGAAGGAUCACUAAAGUGAAAGAAACACUGCGAGCGAGAUAUUAAAAUCCGUUUGGGACCAACCUGUGCUGCUAAUUAAAUUCCGUAAUUACACGAGCAACUUGGGAGGAAAGUUAUUCUAUAAUAAUUGUUCGGUCCGUGUUAUCUCCGAUACCAUCGGAGCAAAUUUUUGCGAAACAUGUAACAACAUGUACUGCUUUAAUGUUCAAUAAAAA